CGGGUGCUGCCCUUCUCGUGAACGGUUGCAUUCCGGUGGCCUUAAAUAAUUCCGAGGGAGCUGGCUCUGUCCGAGCCCUGGUUCGGUUAUACCGGCGCCCACCUGUACAUGCAGGUCCUCGGGAAUGAGAUAACCAAACGGUUGCGUGCGGGCCCGUC
rnacentral:other from 1 species